ACGCAGAGCCUGAUGUGAGCUCGAACUCACAAACCUGGAGAUCAUGACCUGAGCUGAAAUCAAGAGUUGGAGGCUUAACCGACCAAGCCACCGGGGCACCCCACCGAAGGAGCUUUCUUGAAGGAUCAUCAAAGUUUGGAGCCGGAAGCAGUGUUGGAGAACAUCUAGUGAAGUGCUUUGGAAACACACAUGUUUGCUCUCAGAGUGGGUUCAAGGGGAUGCCUGGCUAAUAUGGACUCGCUGUGGCCUUUUCUAGCCAUCAGAGAAGGGCAUCCUCUUCUCCUCUACAAGACUGCAAAUGUCACAAGUCGGCAGUCAAGUCUGGGUACAGUUGGAUCAAGGAGUUCGGUUGACACAUCAAAAUUGACACGUCUUCCUCCUAGAUCAAUUGUUUUCCCUAUUGGCUUCACUCUCAGGCAGACUCUCCCCAUGUAGCAGUUCGUGGUUACAUGAACGAAAACAUCCCCUUCUUUUCCUUAAGCCAGUUUGAGUUGGGUUUCUGUCACUUUCAAUAAAGAAAACGUCUUGACUAAUACUCUCUCAACUAUUCAGAGCAUGGCAUGGUGUUGAUAAAUGGAAUGAAUAAAGAAAUGGGACCUGAGGAUGGAGAAAC